GCAUAUCAAUAAGCGGAGGAAAAGAAAAUAACAAUGAUUCCCCUAGUAACUGCGAGUGAAGAGGGACAAGCUCAAAUUUUAAAUCUAUCGGGUUUUACCUGAUCGAGUUGUAAUUUGAAGAGGCGUUUUCUGCGUGUUUGGUCAGCCUAAGUCCUAUUGAAUGAGGCAUCAUGGAGGGUGAUAAUCCCGUCCGGUUGAUCAUUUGCGUUUUACGAUACGCUUUCUAAGAGUCAAGUUGUUUGGGAUUGCAGCUUAAAAUGGGAGGUAAAUUUCUCCUAAGGCUAAAUAACGGCGAGAGACCGAUAGCGAACAAGUACCGUGAGGGAAAGAUGAAAAGAACUUUGAAAAGAGAGUUAAACAGUACGUGAAAUUGUUGAAAGGGAAACGAUUGAAGCCAGUCGUACCUUCGGGUAAUCAGCCUUUCGAGUGCGAUUCUGUGGAGUGUGAGGAGCUUAACACCUUCAUGCUUUGCAUAUUUGUGCUCUUGGGUGUACUUGCCCGUGUGGUUGGUUAACAUCAAUUUUGGUUAUCAUAAAAUGAUUGGAGGAAUGUAGCUUCGAUCUCGUAUUGAAGUGUUAUAGCCUUCGGUAAAUGUGAUGAACGAGAUUGAGGAUUGCAACGGAUACCCUUCGGGGCUACCUGUCUGGUCUCUGAUCGUUGCUCUGGUGCCGAAAGCUUGCUUACGGUCAUCAAAGUCGAUGGUCAAUAGGUUAGAACGGGUUAAAUUCGUUAAGGAUGUUGACGUAAUGGCUUUAAACGACCCGUCUUGAAACACGGACCAAGGAGUCUAACAUAUAUGCGAGUGUUAGGGUAAUUAAACCCUUACGCGUAAUGAAAGUAAUUUUGGUGGGAACACUUUUGUGCACCAUCGACCGAUCAGGAUAUUUUUUGAUAGAUUUGAGUAAGAGC
rnacentral:rRNA from 1 species